UGCCCAGCAACUCCUAUCCCUACCUCCUCGCGGUACUGGCCGGCUCAAGCAACCGGAUGUUGCAGCGGCAUACGCGCAGCACCUCGAGGCUGCAUUACCGGAAGAGGGUGAG
rnacentral:ribozyme from 1 species